ACCCGCUGAACUUAAGCAUAUCAAUAAGCGGAGGAAAAGAAACCAACAGGGAUUGCCUCAGUAACGGCGAGUGAAGCGGCAAGAGCUCAAAUUUAAAAGCCGACGUAGCUUUAAGAGACGUCCGCAUUGUAAUUUGAAGAGGCAUUCUCGGGUCGGGGCUCAGGCCUAAGUUCCUUGGAAGAGGGCGUCGUGGAGGGUGAGAACCCCGUUCGCGGCCUGCUGUCGACCUUUCCCCGAUCCGCACGAGGUGCCAUCGAAGAGUCGAGUUGUUUGGGAAUGCAGCUCAAAGCGGGUGGUAAAUUCCAUCUAAAGCUAAAUAUUGACGGGAGACCGAUAGCGAACAAGUAGAGUGAUCGAAAGAUGAAAAGCACUUUGGAAAGAGAGUUAAACAGCACGUGAAAUUGUUGAAAGGGAAGCGCUUGAGACCAGUCACGGACCGAGGCGAUCAGUGGGACGUCCCUCUCGGGGGAGGAACCGCGCACUCGCUUUUCGGGUUUUCCGGGUCAACAUCGGUUGGGACGGUGUCAGAAAGGUCGCGGGAACGUGGCUCCCUUCACGGGGAGUGUUAUAGCCCGUGGCGUCAAAGUCGCCAGUUUCGACCGAGGACCGCGCUCGUCUUUUUCGAGCAAGGAUGUUGACGUAAUGGUCCC
rnacentral:rRNA from 1 species